rnacentral:rRNA from 1 species
CUUACCGUAAAGGCUGAGCUGUGAUGGCGAGGGAAAUAUAGUACCGAAGUUCCUGAUUCCACACUGCCAAGAAAAGCCUCUAGCGAGAUAAAAGGUGCCCGUACCGCAAACCGACACAGGUAGGCGAGGAGAGAAUCCUAAGGUGAGCGAGAGAACUCUCGUUAAGGAACUCGGCAAAAUGACCCCGUAACUUCGGGAGAAGGGGUGCUUUUUGAGGUGAAUAGCCUCGAAGAGCCGCAGUGAAUAGGCCCAGGCGACUGUUUAGCAAAAACACAGGUCUCUGCGAAGCCGCAAGGCGAAGUAUAGGGGCUGACGCCUGCCCGGUGCUGGAAGGUUAAGAGGAGGGGUUAGCGCAAGCGAAGCUCUGAAUCGAAGCCCCAGUAAACGGCGGCCGUAACUAUAACGGUCCUAAGGUAGCGAAAUUCCUUGUCGGGUAAGUUCCGACCCGCACGAAAGGCGUAACGAUCUGGGCACUGUCUCAACGAGAGACUCGGUGAAAUUAUAGUACCUGUGAAGAUGCAGGUUACCCGCGACAGGACGGAAAGACCCCGUGGAGCUUUACUGUAGCCUGAUAUUGAAUUUUGGUACAGCUUGUACAGGAUAGGUAGGAGCCUGAGAAGCCGGAGCGCUAGCUUCGGUGGAGGCGUCGGUGGGAUACUACCCUGGCUGUAUUGAAAUUCUAACCCGCACCCCUUAUCGGGGUGGGAGACAGUGUCAGGUGGGCAGUUUGACUGGGGCGGUCGCCUCCUAAAGAGUAACGGAGGCGCCCAAAGGUUCCCUCAGAAUGGUUGGAAAUCAUUCGUAGAGUGUAAAGGCACAAGGGAGCUUGACUGCGAGACCUACAAGUCGAGCAGGGACGAAAGUCGGGCUUAGUGAUCCGGUGGUUCCGCAUGGAAGGGCCAUCGCUCAACGGAUAAAAGCUACCCCGGGGAUAACAGGCUUAUCUCCCCCAAGAGUCCACAUCGACGGGGAGGUUUGGCACCUCGAUGUCGGCUCAUCGCAUCCUGGGGCUGUAGUCGGUCCCAAGGGUUGGGCUGUUCGCCCAUUAAAGCGGUACGCGAGCUGGGUUCAGAACGUCGUGAGACAGUUCGGUCCCUAUCCGUCGUGGGCGCAGGAAAUUUGAGAGGAGCUGUCCUUAGUACGAGAGGACCGGGAUGGACGCACCGCUGGUGUACCAGUUGUCUUGCCAAAGGCAUCGCUGGGUAGCUAUGUGCGGACGGGAUAAGUGCUGAAAGCAUCUAAGCAUGAAGCCCCCCUCAAGAUGAGAUUUCCCAUAGCGUCAAGCUAGUAAGAACCCUGAAAGAUGAUCAGGUUGAUAGGUCAGAGGUGGAAGC